rnacentral:rRNA from 1 species
GAUGAACGCUGGCGGCGUGCUUAACACAUGCAAGUCGAGCGAAGCAAUUUUAAGGAAGUUUUCGGAUGGAAUUAAAAUUGACUUAGCGGCGGACGGGUGAGUAACGCGUGGGUAACCUGCCUCAUACAGGGGGAUAACAGUUAGAAAUGACUGCUAAUACCGCAUAAGCGCACAGUGCCACAUGGCACAGUGUGAAAAACUCCGGUGGUAUGAGAUGGACCCGCGUCUGAUUAGGUAGUUGGUGAGGUAAUGGCUCACCAAGCCGACGAUCAGUAGCCGACCUGAGAGGGUGACCGGCCACAUUGGGACUGAGACACGGCCCAAACUCCUACGGGAGGCAGCAGUGGGGAAUAUUGGACAAUGGGGGAAACCCUGAUCCAGCGACGCCGCGUGAGUGAAGAAGUGUUUCGGCAUGUAAAGCUCUAUCAGCAGGGAAGAAAAUGACGGUACCUGACUAAGAAGCCCCGGCUAACUACGUGCCAGCCGCCGCAGUAA